CAUCCCCGCGUCCUAGGCAUGCAAGUCGACGGAGUGUGUGGAAGGCAACGGAAGCACACUUAGUGGCGAACGGGUGAGGAAUAGCUAGGUAACGUACCCUGGACUCAGGGAUAGCGGCGUCCCGAGCAAUCGGGGCUUUGCGAAAGUGCCGGUAAUACCUGAUGAUAUCCUGGAUGCUCAUGUAUCCGGGAUCAAGGGUCCGCCGGUCUGGGAGCGGCCUAGCUCCUAUCAGCUAGUUGGUGAGGUAACGGCUCACCAAGGCAACGACAGGUACCAGGCGUGAGAGCGCGAUCUGGCACAUCGGGACUGAGACACUGCCCGGACAUCUACGGAUGGCUGCAGCAACGAAUCUUCCGCAAUGGGCGAAAGCCUGACGGAGCGACGCCGCGUGCAGGACGAAGCACUUCGGUGUGUAAACUGCUGUCAGGGGCUAGGAAGUAAGUGACUAACCCCAAAGGAAGCCCCGGCUAACCCCGUGCCAGCAGCCGCGGUAAUACGGGGGGGGCAAGCGUUGUUCGGAAUCACUGGGCUUAAAGGGUGCGUAGGCGGGCCAGUUGGUGCCAUGUGAAAGCCCUCAGCUUAACUGAGGAACGGCAUGGCAUACCGCUGGUCUUGAGGUCGGCAGAGGAACCUGGAACUUUGGGUGGAGCGGUGAAAUGCGUAGAUAUCCAAGGGAACGCCGGUGGCGAAAGCGGGGUUCUGGGCCGAUUCUGACGCUGAGGCACGAAAGCGUGGGGAGCAAACAGGAUUAGAUACCCUGGUAGUCCACGCUGUAAACGAUGCGCACUAGGUAUCAGCACCUCUGACGGAGUUGGUGCCGUAGUAAAAACGAUAAGUGCGCCGCCUGGGGAGUACGGCCGCAAGGCUAAAACUCAAAGGAAUUGACGG
rnacentral:rRNA from 1 species